UCUCCGUUGGUGAACCAGCGGAGGGAUCAUUACAGAGUUUACAACUCCCAAACCCAAAUGUGAACAUACCAAUCGUUGCUUCGGCGGACUCGUCCCGGCGUCCGGGUGGCCUUGUGCUGCCCGCGGCCCGGAUCCAGGCGGCCGCCGGAGACCAUCAAACCCUUUGUAUUAUACGUAUCAUCUGAAUCCGCCGCAAGGCAAGACAAAUGAAUCAAAACUUUCAACAACGGAUCUCUUGGUUCUG
rnacentral:misc_RNA from 1 species